rnacentral:rRNA from 1 species
UACGAAGGGGGGCUAGCGUUGCUCGGAAUCACUGGGCGUAAAGGGUGCGUAGGCGGGUCUUUAAGUCAGGGGUGAAAUCCUGGAGCUCAACUCCAGAACUGCCUUUGAUACUGAGGAUCUUGAGUUCGGGAGAGGUGAGUGGAACUGCGAGUGUAGAGGUGAAAUUCGUAGAUAUUCGCAAGAACACCAGUGGCGAAGGCGGCUCACUGGCCCGAUACUGACGCUGAGGCGCGAAAGCGUGGGGAGCAAACAG